AGAUAAGAUAAAGUGGCUCAGCUCAGCUCAGGGGAUACAUUCUCAGAGGGAUCGAGUUUACCACCCUCGGGGUGGGGACCGCAGCCGUGGGGCUAUCAGCGGCCAGGCCGGCACAGACCCUCGCACCGGAGCAGGAGAGCUUUGGGUGUGUGAUGACAAAAACCUAUGGGCGAGGGCAGUGAACGCCCACACUCCGGGGAGCACUGGAGCCCAGCGUGCGCCCCGCAACCCGGCAAAAGCCGCAUCCCCGCUCCGACAGCAGAGCCCGGCCCACGGAAGGCCCCCAAGGGUCCCAGCCCUGCAGCAGAGCCAGAGCCCCGCGAGGGACAGUAGCAAACGCCGCCCCCCUCGGGAGGCACCGAGACCUUCCCACCUGCCCCGAGCCUUUAUUAACCCGGAUUCUGCACUUGCGGCGGCGCAGGACCCUCACUGCCCAGAGAGACAUCGCUGGGACCCCCCUCGGAUGGGUGAUCUGCUUCCACCUAACCCUUGUUGCUCUCUCCCUGUUUUUCAUUGCAAACUGCAGUUGGGAAUAUGGAUCACCAAACAAAACCACAAGCAACAGAAAGCUAGGAACACAUAUGUGCUUGCCCACAGCACUGCUGCCUGUAAGCUGUUCUCCAACCAACAAAAACAUCUCAGUGGCUGGAAAAGAUGAACAAGCCUGGUUGCCAAGUCAUGGCCUGAACUAUUCCAGGGGCAGAAGAGACAGCUGGACUGCUGGUUAAGAACGGAGCUAUUUAAGGAGACUCACUCUGGCCUAAUGGAAAAUGCAAGGAUAGAAUUAUCAAUUAUUUUACACUAACUCAACAUUUCAGAUCCAGGAAAAAAACAAUCACAAGGAAGCAGAAGAGAGAAGCUGGUUAGAUUCGGCUGGCAGCUCAAUCCAGGUAUAGAAAGAGCAGAAUGUGCUGCCCUUUAGAAGAAAGAAAAUUAACUGGUUUUCAGAAGAUGGUGAUUCUGGAGUGUUUCAGACUACAAAGCAAACUCCAAAUGCACCUGCACUGUUGUUCCAAGCACUGACACAAAGUUGAUGUGAUCACAGGGCCUUGGGUUAUCACAAAGAGCCACAAAAGCCAUCAGCGGAACACAGAUAAAGAAAUUAUUUUUGGAUGUA